CUACUAAUCACGGAUGAGUAUCUAUCUAUCUUCUCUCUUUUAAUUUAUAUAUAUAUCUUGUAACUGUCGUCAUGAUUAAUGUUUUUAAUUAAUCACAUAGAAAGGAUCUCUUUAACGAUUAGUCGAUUUGACUUGUAAACAAAAAAAGAGAAGUCAAAUGAGGACAACGACGCAAUAGUAGAAGGUCUUUAGACUAAUUUAAUAGGCUUCGAGACACAUAACCAAUUUGAUUAUUAUUAUUUAAUACGUCAUCUCUUAGAUCAUCUUCCACGGGCCUCAUGGAUAUGGACAUCGACAUCAUGACUCAUGAGUUUGGUUGGUGUAAAGUUCAAACCAACAAUAAAAUACAAUCGAUUUACGCUUCUAUAUGUCUAAACAUCUACUAAAUAGUAAACGGAAUUAGAAAUAUUAGCUGCUAUGUACCAAUAAUGACGAGAAUCAUAGCAAAGAACAAAAUAUAUGUAUAUAUCGAAAGCGACCAAAAUGGAAAAUACAAUAUGGUGCAUAUAAGUUAAUUUUCUUAAUAUGGAAAGCAAAGAACGAGGAAUAGUAGAAAA
rnacentral:lncRNA from 1 species